UUUAUGGAGAGUUUGAUCCUGGCUCAGGAUGAACGCUGGCGGCGUGCCUAAUACAUGCAAGUCGAGCGAACGGACGAGAAGCUUGCUUCUCUGAUGUUAGCGGCGGACGGGUGAGUAACACGUGGAUAACCUACCUAUAAGACUGGGAUAACUUCGGGAAACCGUAGCUAAUACCGGAUAAUAUUUUGAACCGCAUGGUUCAAAAGUGAAAGACGGUCUUGCUGUCACUUAUAGAUGGAUCCGCGCUGCAUUAGCUAGUUGGUAAGGUAACGGCUUACCAAGGCAACGAUGCAUAGCCGACCUGAGAGGGUGAUCGGCCACACUGGAACUGAGACACGGUCCAGACUCCUACGG
rnacentral:rRNA from 1 species